rnacentral:lncRNA from 1 species
ACUUGUUUUCUUCAUCUCAUUACUUUUCCUCUUACCCUUUUCUAUGUGAAUGUGUUUCUCUUUUUUUUAUGCUUGAGGUGGUUGCAUUGAAUCAAACAUAUUAUGCUCUAGUGCCUGCCAGGCGUUGUCUGAAUGCAUCCCACCAAAUGGAUUACCAGAGUUAUUCAAAUAUUGGAGGCUUGACGAAUGGAAUAAAUCUUCUACAAUACUUCCCUCUAUGUUAUUGGAGUUGAGAUCCACAUACGUUAGGUUGGGC